AUACUUGGCAAAUAUAAAUGCUUUCUGGUAUGAUUUGGAUAAACCCCUGAAGUCAUGCCCUCCCCCAGCAUGGCACUCCUGAGGGACAGGCUCCCUUUGAGCCUAUCGUGAUGAGCCUGAAUUGAACCACAUCUUGUCAAACACGGAGGACUCUCCAUCUCACACCCAGUACAUAGGACCGGACGAUGUAACUAUGAAGGGAGAGAUAGCAGAGAUGAACACCCAACACUAGCUCAGGACAACUAAGCACCUGACAGCCCACAGGAGAGUAAAAUCCUGCACUGGAUGGAUCAGCGGACAACACACAGACCGGUAAUCUGGGUCAAUCACUUCUGCCAUCCCACCCACAACAGAAAACAGCAUGAAAAACUCACUUUAACCCCCUAUGAAUCCAUCUCCAACCUGACUGAUCAGCACUCCCCACUUCCCAAGCCCCUACCCGCCAAAUUAAUUUUGAAAACUCUGAUCCCAGAAUGCUCAGGGAGACUGAUAAAACUCCUGUCUCCCGAACAGCAGGGCGGCUCUGCAUGAAUUAUUAUUUCUCCACUGCAAUUCCCCAGUCUUCAUAAAUCGGCUCUGUCUAGGCAGCUGGCAAGGUGAACCCACUGGAUGGUUACAAGGAGAGGCCUCCUGCGAGCGCCUCAGUGUCCCUACGCCGGGUACCGGCUACAGACCCACGAGCAGGAGCCGCUCCCUCGCUGGUUUAGGACCUGGGUGACGAUGGGGUGACCUGAGGGCACAGAAGGCGCCACAAUUACCUGAGUCGGGUGCCUCGGCGCAGCCGCUGCCAUCGGACUACUUGGGGAAGCACGGCCCGGGAGCAGUGGUCGCCGUCACGGGGCUGCAGAGCCGCCUCUGGGCACCGAGGACGAUUCCUCUCCACCUUCUAGGUUCAGUCACCGCGGUCCCACCCAGCACUCAGGGGCCACAAACUGGGGAAACACCCGCGUCACCGAUACACAGCCGCUACUAGAGACCCCGGAAGUCUCGGCCUUCCGUUACGUGCACACGUGGAAAUGCCUUCUUUCCGAGUGCUCAUUGGCUCUGACCGGCUGUCGUUUAAAGCAGAGCUUUCUGGGUAAUGUAGUUCCCCACUUUCCAUGACACAACAUGGUUACCAGGUUCUGAAAUGUUCAUGGCUCAGAUGCACCUCCAAGCCUUUGCACCUAUUGGUUCCUCUACCUGUAUUACUCUACCUGGGGUGAAGCCUGUAAUACACAGCAUUUACCUGAGCUAGGUCCCUCAGUGUGGCUGCUGCCAUCAACUGUGGGUGGAGCAGGCAUCACCCCAGCCAGUGCCUAUGAGCCUCAGACCUGCCACUUGGGAGCAGAGAUGACUACUCCUCUUGUGCCUUCUCAGUCCCAACCCAGUACUCCCUGGCCUGACAAGCAUGCCCAGAAAUCCCUCAUCCUGGGCCUUGCAACUAGCGCCUUCUGGGUAAAGUACUUCUCAGAGCUCUCAGCCAACAAUGGUGGUAUCCUCCAAGAGCAAACCGAAUGCAGACCAUGUUACACUCUGAGGGCUGCUGGAAAGCCCUGCUCACACCUCAAGGGAGGAAGACUAUUGAUUCUUUGUAAAAGCAUCAAAUAGGUAUCACAUCAGACUCUAGGAAUCUCAUCCUGCACCCAGAGAAUAAAAAUACUAUUUGAGAUGCUCCCAAACUUUACUUAUCUAAGUGGCCAUAUCAUUGGCAUCAUUCAGACUUACAAUGUGUGCACUCAGAGCUGAGAACAUUAAGUAUUGAUUGCUCUUUAAAUUCACAUAGACUGAAUCAUUACAGUCAGUUUUGCGAGUUUCAUUGUUUUGUUGGGAACAAAAGAAAAUUCUCCAUAAGACAUGAUGACAGGAUGGGUACAAAAAACAGUGAGCAAAAAUGAAUAAGACCUAAUAUUUGCUACCAUAACAGGGUGGCUAUAGUCAAAAUAAUUUAAUCAUAUAUUUAAAAAUAACUAAAAGAGUAUAACUGGACUGUUUAUAAUACAGAGGAUAAAUGUUGAGGUGACUGAGACCCCAUUUACCCUAUGUGAUUAUCACAUAUGGCAUGGCUACAUCAAAAUAUCUAAUGUAAUCUACAAAUAUAUACACUACUAUAUACCCAC
rnacentral:sRNA from 1 species